AAUCUUCCACAAUGGACGAAAGUCUGAUGGAGCAACGCCGCGUGAGUGAAGAAGGGUUUCGGCUCGUAAAACUCUGUUGUUAAAGAAGAACAUAUCUGAGAGUAACUGUUCAGGUAUUGACGGUAUUUAACCAGAAAGCCACGGCUAACUACGUGCCAGCAGCCGCGGUAAUACGUAGGUGGCAAGCGUUGUCCGGAUUUAUUGGGCGUAAAGCGAGCGCAGGCGGUUUUUUAAGUCUGAUGUGAAAGCCUUCGGCUCAACCGAAGAAGUGCAUCGGAAACUGGGAAACUUGAGUGCAGAAGAGGACAGUGGAACUCCAUGUGUAGCGGUGAAAUGCGUAGAUAUAUGGAAGAACACCAGUGGCGAAGGCGGCUGUCUGGUCUGUAACUGACGCUGAGGCUCGAAAGUAUGGGUAGCAAACAGGAUUAGAUACCCUGGUAGUCCAUACCGUAAACGAUGAAUGCUAAGUGUUGGAGGGUUUCCGCCCUUCAGUGCUGCAGCUAACGCAUUAAGCAUUCCGCCUGGGGAGUACGGCCGCAAGGCUGAAACUCAAAGGAAUUGACGGGGGCCCGCACAAGCGGUGGAGCAUGUGGUUUAAUUCGAAGCUACGCGAAGAACCUUACCAGGUCUUGACAUACUAUGCAAAUCUAAGAGAUUAGACGUUCCCUUCGGGGACAUGGAUACAGGUGGUGCAUGGUUGUCGUCAGCUCGUGUCGUGAGAUGUUGGGGUUAAGUCCCGCAACGAGCGCAACCCUUAUUAUCAGUUGCCAGCAUUAAGUUGGGCACUCUGGUGAGACUGCCGGUG
rnacentral:rRNA from 2 species